UGAUUAUAGUUUAUUAAAAUUCUAGUCUGUGAAUCUAGAGAUGGAAGCUAAUCACUUCCUAUUCACCG
rnacentral:tRNA from 1 species